CGACUACACACACUGAACACACACACACACACACACACACACGCACAUAUAUUUCCCCUCCCCCCCACACACUCUUCUCUAACUUCCUUACAUAAAACAAACACUGCAGCGUGAUUAUGAAUAGGAAGCAUACGAGGCACAUCUGAAGCAAAGUUUUCUUUCGGUGUCAAACCACAUUCCUCCUCGGCCCAUUACCCUCUCAACAACGCUCACUCAGUAUUUUUUCCUUCCCUAAGUGUAUUUCUCUCUCGUUCCUCUUUUUUUUUUCUUUGUUAAUGUAUUCAUACCUCCAUUAGAUAAACAACCAUCCAUGAUAAAAGCGACGAUCAAAUAGUUUUCUCACAGAUUCAUUUUCUUUCCCACACCACACGUGCGAGUCGGCAUGAAUAGGAGUUCCAUCUUUUUGAUAAGCUUACUGGCAUUGAUGUUACCGCUGGAGAUUGUGAGCGAACCGGCAGCGGCGUCUUUGGCCAUCCAUCCAGCUCUGUUCGCCGCCUUUCAAGUCGGGAAGAUGCGAUAUGCUGAAAGCAAGACAAAAGCUCAUCCGAAGAGAAGCUGUCCAGGAAAUUGACGAGCACGAAAAGGCCAACUGGGCCGAAUGGCGAGAGAGAGAGAGAGAGAGAGAGAGAGAGGGAGAGAGAGAGAGAGAGAGAGAGAGAGAGAGAGAGAGAGAGAGAGAGAGAGAGAGAGAGAGAGAGAGAGGGGAGAG
rnacentral:lncRNA from 1 species